rnacentral:rRNA from 1 species
UGGGGAAUAUUGGGCAAUGGGCGAAAGCCUGACCCAGCAACGCCGCGUGAAGGAAGAAGGCUUUCGGGUUGUAAACUUCUUUGACAGGGGAAGAGUAGAAGACGGUACCCUGAAAACAAGCCACGGCUAACUACGUGCCAGCAGCCGCGGUAAUACGUAGGUGGCAAGCGUUGUCCGGAUUUACUGGGUGUAAAGGGCGUGCAGCCGGGAAGGCAAGUCAGAUGUGAAAUCCGUGGGCUUAACCCACGAACUGCAUUUGAAACUGCUUUUCUUGAGUAUCGGAGAGGUAAUCGGAAUUCCUAGUGUAGCGGUGAAAUGCGUAGAUAUUAGGAAGAACACCAGUGGCGAAGGCGGAUUACUGGACGACAACUGACGGUGAGGCGCG